ensembl:lncRNA
AUGCUGUCUCAAAUGGAUGAAGAAAUCAUGACAUCCCUUCGUGAGCUCCCAGAAAUGAUUAAAUUAAUGAAGGAGUGUGUGCAGUGUGUCCGGUCAUUGAUUCCCUCACCCGGUGGGACCCCCUCAUCAGGAAUGUCUGCCUCUAGUACUGUUCCCAGUGAAAUUGAAAUGCACUCCUUGGCUGGAAGUGCAGUGAGUGUUCCGAAGAGGGCUUUCCAGCGGCUGAACAGAUCUCGCAUGACCAUUUUUGCCCAAGAGCUGGCUGUUCUGGUGUUCACAAAGGAACUGCUGGCAGAGUCCACCCUAACAGGAAAAUCUGUGCGAGGGGCCCCCCCCCAAAAAACAGCUGGAUGUUGAAAAAGUUCAGGCCAUAACAGACACUGUUCUUGUGGAGUUUCCACACACAACUCCGUCGGAAGUGCGAGCGGCCAUCAGGCGCAAGUGCAACAAUGAGCAAUUUAGCAAGAAAAAUUGAAGUUUGCUUGCUGUUCCACAAUGUUUCAAUUUUGUUUUCUUUCAGCAUUCUUUUUUUUUUUUUAAACAUGGUGUAUUUUGUUCUGUUUUUCAAUGCUACAACCAUGUGAGGAUUUAAUAAACACUGUUUGAGUUCAUUAUGUGUAUCUGUG